rnacentral:rRNA from 1 species
CGGACGGGUGGGUAAUGUCUGGGAAACUGCCCGAUGAGGGGGAGUAACUACUGGAAACGGUAGCUAAUACCGCAUAACGUCGCAAGACCAAAGAGGGGACCUUCGGGCCUCUUGCCAUCGGAUGUGCCCAGAUGGGAUUAGCUAGUAGGUGGGGUAACGGCUCACCUAGGCGACGAUCCCUAGCUGGUCUGAGAGGAUGACCAGCCACACUGGAACUGAGACACGGUCCAG